rnacentral:lncRNA from 1 species
CUCUUCUCCUAUUGAUUCAGGUUUUUCCCGUGGUCUUUUUCCUUUUGGUUCUCGAGGUGGUUGUUGGCGUUGGCCGUCCUUGUCCCGGCAUCUGGGUGAGCGUUGUCGGGCUUCUUCUCAGAGGCGAUUUACUCCAUCGCUGGGACUCUUCUCCUGGGUACUACCUAGGGCGCCUCCAGAUAUGUACAAAGAGAGGUAUCGCCUGCCUACAUAAACAUCUCCGGCAAGGUCUUUCUAAGGAAGGGGCCUUAUGCUUGAUCCCUGGCGACGAAUUUUCACUUGGUGGCUAAAAUUUUCAGGUUGCGCCAAGGGGGCCUCAACCGGGUACGCCUCCUGCCUUUUUCACGGUGAAAUACAUCUGGCUGUGAUCUUUGGAAUAGUUAUGGUUUUUUACCGAUUUCUCUCAAGAACAAUGGUGUAAAUCUUAAUUGGUGUUGCUAAUAUUUCAUUUUGCUCGUCAACGUCGUAACCUCCACGUGUGGGAGGCCUCUUCAGGGAUCGAGUAAUGGCGCCACCUCAUGCAACUCACCUGAUUUCACACUCCACCGGAAGUGAGCUCCAAAUAUUUUCCAUCGGUGACGAAGACCAAAGAAGAAGGAUUUGAUUGUUUUUUCAAUUCUUUUUAAGUUUUUUUUUUGCAAAUUGUUGGGCAAAAGUGUAAUUUGCCCAUUCACAAGGGGCUUCUUUUCAAAACUGGAAGUGUCCCAGUAGCACUGUAACAACUCAUGUAUUUUAUGUUUCUAAUCUACUUUAUAUAAAUAAAUGCAUGAGUUUUA